rnacentral:rRNA from 1 species
CCUACGGGUGGCUGCAGUGAGGAAUAUUGGUCAAUGGACGAGAGUCUGAACCAGCCACGUAGCGUGAAGGAUGACUGCCCUCUGGGUUGUAAACUUCUUUUAUAUGGGAAUAAAAUGUUCCACGUGUGGGAUUUUGUAUGUACCAUAUGAAUAAGGAUCGGCUAACUCCGUGCCAGCAGCCGCGGUAAUACGGAGGUUCCGAGCGUUAUCCGGAUUUAUUGGGUUUAAAGGGUGCGUAGGUGGAUUGUUAAGUCAGUUGUGAAAGUUUGCGGCUCAACCGUAAAAUUGCAGUUGAAACUGGCAGUCUUGAGUACAGUAGAGGUAGGCGGAAUUCGUGGUGUAGCGGUGAAAUGCUUAGAUAUCACGAAGAACUCCGAUUGCGAAGGCAGUUCACUGGACUGCAACUGACACUGAGGCUCGAAAGUGUGGGUAUCAAACAGGAUUAGAUACCCUUGUAGUC